GAGCCCAGGUUUACCCAUAGCCUCUGCUUUUUUUAUGACUUCAUCAUCAUAAGUGUAGGCCUCGGCAUCAAUAACAACCAACUGAUAUGCAAAAACAUAUAAAAAAGAGGAUUUUAGAAUUUUCAUGGCUCGUACAGCAUAGCCUGCCUGAUAAAAACAGGCUACCUAAAACCUCUGGCUGCUUUAUAUAUGAGAGAAAUUAUAUUAAACCUUUAAAGUAACAAAUAUGAUUUUUUAAGAUUACCUGUGACUACUUUACACCUCGAGUUCUCAAGGUACCUAAAUUCUUGCAAAGUAUCCUAACAUGCACUUUUUGCUGCUUCUCCUCUGAAUAUAAUUGUUCCACCAUCAGUUCUCUCUAAUCAAAAAUCAUUUUGAAUGGAUCAAACCUUUAUAUCCUCUCCAAUUCUUAAAUUUACUUUUCCUUCGUAACCCUGCCAUUUAUUCUCCAAUUCUUUAAUCUCAUCGAUCUGUGAUGUGGUGGUAAAUCUUUCUCGUGGUUUAACUGUACAUUGUGUACAUGUGAUUCAAGUCACCUUAUACGAAAAUAGCUAUAUUUUUAAAAAUAUGAUGCAGUAGUACUGUACUAAAUUAAAAUAUUAUUACAAUACUAACAACAUCAUAGGGUCCAAAAUAAUUGGGAUGGCUACAUGAAUCUUCUACCGUUAUUAAGAUAUAUUAAAAGAUAUGCUUAGUUAUGACUAUUUAAAUCUUUACUUAUAUCUUCUAUUAUUGUCUUUUUAGAUCUUCCAUUACAUCUCUCUUUAUACCAUAUACCACUAACAGUAAUCAUUCCUCCUAUAUUUUUUAACAAAAUUAAAACAUUAUUACUUCUAAAUUCUUUCAAUUAAAAGAACAGAAGACAUGGCAAAUUCCAGAAAAUUUUCACCUAUUCUGUUCUGACCACCCACUAAUUCAUUUCCAAUUCUGUUCUGAACAUCCACAAAAUCCUUUCUGGUAUUUUGAUUUGAAGUUCCCAGUACAUAAGUUUUUCAUCAUUUGGUUAUACUCGAUUUCAUCUAUAACUUCCAAAUUUCAUGUUUGACAAUUGGCAUAAUCUGGGAACCCUAUAUGUGAAAUAUGCACUUAUGACGCCUUGCUCCUAUUAAAACUUCAAGGAACUAUAUCAACGUUUAUUUUUCCCAAACUCUAUAUACACUUCAAGAUACUCCUUUCACGAAUUUUCUUCUGCGUUUUCCCAAACUCUAUAUACACUUCAAGCUACUCCUUUAACGAAUUUUCUACUUCCACAAUUUCCCAAACACUAUAUACACUGCAAGCUACUCCUUUCCCAAAUUUCCUUCUCCUAUGCACUAGAUAUCAUAUUUAUUAUCCAGGAUUGUUAAUUCAUAAGGAAUGUCCCUAACUGCUUUGUUUCUUGAAACAGAAUAUCAGUUCUUCAAUUAUCAUCCACAUCAUCUUUCAUGCUUCACAUAAAAAUGUUAUUACAUACAAAGUCAUUUAUCUAAGCACAUACUCUUGGACUAACUUCUCUAGGGCAAUCAAAAUUGUACAAAAAACUCGGCUUAAUUGCCCUUAGAUCCCAGUAUUAAUAAGAUGCCUGGUUCUUGAUCAAAAUUGUGGCCCACACAAGUAUUUGAGUGACCAUGAUACAGCAGGCCAACACCCACGUAUUUCCUACAAGUCCAUCUUCAUAUUUGUUCUAAUAAUUAGUCAUGCAAGAAACAGCAACACAAUACUGCACCCUUUUCUCCAGCAGAUGACAAAUUAUUGGGAUAAAAGGAUAUUUCUGUACAGAAAAAACUUCAUUCUCAACCAAUGUGGUACUCCGAAUGCUAAGAUGCCUAGGACGUUCCUCUAAAAGAUAACGCCAACUUUCGCUCAACAAUCCAUAUGUAGUUAUUUAAAAACAACUUGGAAAUAAUUUUAUUAGUUAAAUAAAAAAAAUUAAAAUGAAAUCUGCAAAGUACAUAAAGAGCAGAAGAGAAGCAUUUCUACAUAUAUACUUUGCAACCCACAAAAGAAAUCCUCCAAAAUUCACUCUUCAGAACAAGAAACACCAGUGAUUUUGACUAAAUCAAAUUUAAGCCCUUAAAGUUCUAACUUAAUAUGCUGAAUUAUAUGCUUUUCACACAAUGAAAAUCUAAAGGAACAAGAAAACAUAAGAUUCAGUUUAAUCUACAGGCUUUCAUGGUGAAACUGGUAGAAAACCAUGCUGUCAAUAUUGCAUCCAUCAAAAUAUACUGAGAUGCAGAGAGAACCUACUUUUAGUUUUAUUAAUUAAAUAUAUUAGCUACAAAAUACCAAUGUUAAAAGGAGAGGAGGAAGAAGAGAAGAGAAAAAGGGGCUAGCUACACUAAAAUACAAACUGGUAAAACCUUAAAACUUACUUGUAAUCAAGCAAACAUAAUGGUGGUUUUGAUAAGCUGUACAAGGAUUACAAUUUAGAAGUUUUACCAUAGCUAGGACACAACUUCAGAAGUUUGCAAUUUUUUAUUAUCAAAUAAGAUAGAGGAAUAUAAGAAUAAUAAGCAAAAAUAGGCAUAUAGGCACAUGAGAUUCUUGUAGCAAGUCAAUUUAACAUAGUGCAGAUGCCCUGAUUCACUCCAAGGUCUGACAUGCAAGUACAAUACCUAAAGUACUAUGUUGCAUUGUCACCUUCUUAUGCACACUUUGUCUACAGAAACAUAAUACCUCUAAUACCAUGAGUCUUUCCAUGUUAUGCAGUUAUUGCACUGAAUAAUUAGCCACUAAUUUCGCACAGGUUAAGCAUUGGACCAAUAAACAAUGUUAAUCAGCAUCAACAAAAUGAUAUCCUCGUAAUUCUAUCCUAGAAAGAAUCCUGGGAUUUGUCACAUCAUUAUGCCAGCCAACCAACUGCACGAAGAAUUCGAAAAGUGCACGUGCAGCAAAGAAAUUCAUAAGGUAAACUGACAAAUCUGUUCUGCAAUGUACAAAAAUUGUCCCCGGCCAAGUAUACCAGAAUGAAAAAUAACUGAAAUUAUGACGGAUCAUAUUUGUAAAUUUAGAUCUCCAAGGCAACCCUAAUAUGCAUAAUGGAAUUGCACAGGAUCAAACUGACAAAAAAAUUGUCUUUUAUGCAAGGUAUACAGUUUCAAAUGAUACCGCUUGGUAUGGGCGGUACGUACCGGUCCGACAACAUACCGGUACACGAACUAUCUGCUACCGGGCGGAACAUUUAAAAGCGCCCCAUAUCGGACGAUAUAGGGUUAUAUCGGGCGGUUUCGACCGUUACUGCCGAGCGCAACUCGGUAACGAUCGAUUUCGAUCGUUACCGCUUGAUAAUAGUGCUCCAACGAUCAAAUUGACCGUUGGAGUCCUUUCUCAUAGGUUUUUAAACUCUUCUCCCCUAUUUCACUCUAUUUUAUUUGCAUACUCUCUUAAACUAUCUCAAACUCUUUUUUUCUCAUAUUUGUGCUCUCAUAAACUCUACAAAACAACGAUUUAUGAAUUGAAUUGAGGCUAAUUUAGGAAGAUUAAGAGGAAGAACUUUCUAAUCAAGUGGUAUGUAUUCUCUUUCUUUAAUUAAGGAGUAAUUAAGAUCUUUAAUAUUAUGAUUAGUGUGUUUAAUAUUGAAUAAUUAUACUUAAUAGGUCAAAUAUUUAUAUUUCAUGUAUAUUAAAUAUUGAAAGAUAUUUGAUACUAAAAUAAGUUUAAUUAGGUUUUAUUAAAGUUAUUGAAUGCUGCGAUUAGUCAUUUUAAUGAUGAUUUAAUCGAUUUUAUGUCAAUUCAAUGUGUUUAAUAUCUAUUAGGGUGUUUGUCAUGUUUAUAGUAUUGAAAAAAAAGUAAUUAGUGAAUAAUGAACUAUAUUAAUCAUAUAAUUAGUGUAUCUAAUAAUGAUUUCAUCGUAAUUUGAACUAUAUUGGUUCAAAAUUAUGUAUUUAAUACUUCUUUUAUGUGUUUGACAUAUUUAUGAUGGUAAAAUAGGUUUAAUUAGGUUUUAUUAAAGUUAUUUAAUGCUGUGAUUAGUCAUUUUAAUGAUGAUUUAAUCAAAAUUUGAUCGAUUUUAGGUUAAUUUAAUGUCUUUAAUACCUAUUAGGGUGUUUGACAUGUUUAUAGUGUUGAAAGAGAAGUAAUUAGUAGAUAAUUAACUAUGUUAAUCAGGUGAUUAGUGUAUCUAAUGAUAAUUUUAUCAUAAUUUGACCCAUACUGGAUCAAAAUUAUGUAUUUAAUGCUUCUUUUAUGUAUGUAACAUAUUUAUGAUGAUAAAAUAGGAUUAGUUAUAUUUUAAUAAAAUUAUUUAAUGUUGCGAUUAGUGAUUUUUGGUCGAUAUUUGGUCAAUUCAAUAUGUUUAUACUUUAUAGCUUAUUUGAUUUAAAUUUAGUAGGAUCAUGGCACUAAAGGAAUAGCUAUAUGAUAAUGCAUGGGUUCAUGCCCGAAAGAUAGAUGGGAACUAUCAUUAUUGGCAAUGUAUUUAUUGUGACUACAUUGGCAUGGAUGGAGGAAUAACUUGAGUGAAGAUGCAUUUGGCCGGCGGAUAUCCUGAUGUUGCAAAAUGCAAGAAGAUUCCGACGGAGAUCCGUAAAUUAUUUCAAAGCAAGCUACAACAAGUAAAGAAAGAUACAUUAAAAAAGAAGGCAAGAGUUAAGGAAGAAUAUUAUAGGGCUACGCAGGAACCGGUUUAUGAUCAGUAUGAGGGUUGUGACGAUCAAGUUAACUUGGAUCUCAUAGUUGGGAUUCGUGCAUCAUUGGAGCAUCAGUAUACAAUCGAUAAAGCAAUGAGGCAUCGACAACCUGACUCAUAAUUAGAACAUGGCAGUGGUAGUGAAAUCCAGAGGUCGGCCAACAUAAGGCAACCAGCUGCUCCUCCUUAGUUAAGCCGAACUAGUAGCAUGAGGCAUGGUGGACUCUGUGGUUUUAUGAGAGAUCUUGGCAGGAGGUCCGCACCAGAUAUUGUUGAUAUUGAUCUGUAAGCCUAUCUCCCACAAACAACGAAAUAGACAUGGAUUGACAAUGCAUACAUAAAAGAAAAGAAACGGGAUAGUGGGAAGAUAAUUUCAAAAUGGUUCAACUUCCACAGGAUUCCAGCCAACACAGCCCAAGGUCCAUAUUAUUAGAGCAUGGUCUCUUCUAUUCAAAAGUUUAGCACGGGGAUCCAACCUCCAACACCGAAGGAGAAUUACGACGUGUACUUAGAUGAGGAGGUGGCAGAACUGACAGAUUGGAUCAAAUCCUUCAAGAGGCAGUGGGAUGAAUAUAGGGUAACACUGAUGUGUGAUAGUUGGACAGGACCAACAAGAAUGAGUAUCAUCAACUUUCUUGUUUAUUGCAAUAGAAGAGUGGUGUUUUAUAAGUCAGUUAAUGCUUCUGAAAAGAUCCAAUAUGCAAACUACAUUAAGAGUUUGAUAGACACUAUAGUAGAGAAGAUCGGACCAUAGUAUGUUGUCCAAAUAAUAACCGACAAUGGAGCGUAUUUCAAGAAGGCCGGUUUGCAAUUGAUAGAAAAAAGAAAAACUUUAUUUUAGACUUCACAUGCAGCUCAUUGCAUAGAUCUAAUGCUGAAGGAUAUUGAUAAGUUGGAUGCGGUCAAGAAUUGUAUAGCUCGAGCACAAUCAAUUACAAAGUUUAUAUAUAAUCAUUAUUGGGUCCACGCUUUAAUGUAAAAGUAUGUAAACGGUGAGAUACUCUGACCUGGAAUUACUCGGUUUGCUACCAAUUUUAUUGCAUUAAAGUCAUUAUAGCAAAAAAGGCAUGGCUUGAAGGCAAUGGUCACCUCACAAGAGUGGUCUGAUUCUAGAUAUUCGAGAUUAAGCGAUGAAAAGAAGAUAGAAAAGUUCAUUCUUUCCUCUAGAUUUUGGGAGACCACAACAGAAAUCAUAAAAGGUGUGGAACCACUUUAUAUUAUUCUCCGUAGGGUCGAUAUGGACAAACAUCCACAGAUGUCGUAUCUUAAGUAUAUGUUGAUUUCAACAAAAGAGGAGGUUAAGAAAGCAUUCAAAGAUGAUUUUAAGGUCGACCAAUAUGUAUGGAUCAUUGAUCGUCGGAUCAAAGUUCGUAUGGAUCAAGAUAUCUAUAAUGCAGGUAAAUUCAUAUUCAGAAUAAUUUAAUUUAUUAUUUUUUAGAUAAUAAAAAAUCAUACUAACAAAAUUGUCUUGCAGCGUAUUAUCUAAAUCUGACAAUUCAAUAUCGGUAUGCUCUCGGAAUACAAAAUGAUUUACUAAUGAUACUACGAAAUGUUAUAUAUCGACUCUUACCAAACUCUACUAAUGCAACCGAUGCUCUUAUAGAGGGUCGAUUAUUUCGAGAAACAAUUGGUUCAUUCUCCGACGUUGUAGUUGUAUCGUGUCGUUACACUAUGGAUCCUGAUGAGGAAAAGUUACACAUAUUGAUUAUCAAUUAUAUUUAAUGUUAAUUAUUUGUUAUGCUAAUAAAAUCUUAUUUAUAUCUUUUUGCAGUCAAGUGGUGGCUAUAAUUUGAAGGGGAUGCGCUACAUUUAAGGAAGGUUGUGAACGUAAUUGGUCAACGUUUGCAUUGAUUCACACGAAGGUCCGCAACAAACUCUCCUAUAGACGGUUAGAGAAACUGGUAUAUGUCUGCAACAAACUCUACAUGCGGCUAAGAUUACGAUGUGCUGAGCUGGAUAAGGAGCCAGAGGAACCAUAUAUUGAUCCCAUCGACCUCCAAUUCUACAAUGAAUAUUUAGAACCGAUGUUAGAUUGGGUUGAAGCAGUAGAGAACCAAGAGGAUCCUCUACUUGAUGAGACGGGAGAUCCUCAGCAUCCUUCGCGUUUUAUCAUCGAGGCAAUCAAAGACGAAGCACAACCCCAACAGGUGAAAAAUCCCCUUGAUCACAAUAUGGUAGGAGCCAAACAACAUCGAGUCAAACUGCUCGAGGAACUACAGACACCCAACGAUCACUGUUGUCCGCCCAACAUGCAAAGGCAAAUGGGAAGGCAGUAGCAUCAGUCGCAUCGUAGAAAAGAAUCAAGUCGGGCGACGAGACACCUUCAUAAUCACAGUCAGCAACUCGCUCGGUCCAAAGACAUGACAGCAACACGGACAGCAGUGCCUCGACGGAUCAUGGCGGCGAUGUCGGGUAGUUGUCGGUCUCGUCUACACAACUUGAGGGUGGUGCAUGGACCGAGGAGCAAUAUUUUACACAUGCCACCCAAGAUUCAGAUCAUGGAACUUGACAAGGUACUAGUCAAGUUUAUGCACGGAAGGGGAAGGGGAAGACAGUGGAUGAAUUUGAGCAGAUACGACAGAGCCUAUAUGAUGUAGACACAGAAAUAAGCUCAUCGUAUUCCCAGUCAUCGUAUUAUGGAGAAUCAUAAGGGCAAUAGCAGUACGAUGAUGGUUGAUCAUCCUUCUCUAAGCAACAGUAUGAUACAGAGCAACAGAUCAGUAGCCAAAGUAGAAGCUCUGACAUUCACCAAUAUAUGCCUCGGGACCUGCCUCAAACAAACGUGAUUUAUGACGAUCAGCCUAUAAUCAUCACCACAUUGAUACAUCAAUGGCAUACGGUAUAUCAAUAUACUAUGUCGUGGGAUCAAUUUCAUGAUUGGGUCCAACAAACAUAUCAUAUUGAUAUACAAAUGUAUAGGAUCGAGGACCCCGAUCCACCACCCGUGGAGGCCCGUCGUUGGUUUUGGUGGUAGAAUCAACAAUUAGGUAUAUCUACAUAUAUGAUUAUUUAAUUCAUUUGAAUUUUAGAGUUUAUAUUGUAAUAAAAUAGUCUAACAAUUCAAAUGAUUGUUCUGUAUAUAUUUCAAUAUUUACAUAGGGACAAUCCGUAAUGGACUGAAAUACGAACCUUGCACAAGACUAUUCCUCAAAGCUCGAAAAAGAUAUGUGAUACUAUUUUUACCUAAUUUACAUUGAUUUUGCUAAACUUAUACUAUUACUAUAUUUAUUUCUAACUUAAAAACUCUAUCCUAACUUUUUUUUUAUUUUCAGGUAUUUUCGAAUGAUUUUAUACCUAAAUUAGGUAUACCGCUCGGUACGCCUUGGCGUACCAUACCUUACAAAGUCAAGCUUAAAACACUAGUACGGUAUGAUAUUUUAAUCCUUGCUUUUAUGUAUGAUUUUAGAUGCAAAACAGGCAUUUCUUACAACUCCAAAAGCUUGGUCAAGAGAAAUUAUAUCUGCUACCAAACUAAAAAGAGUCUGCACCGGGCACACCAAAUUAAUUCCAAUAAAAAUCUUGGUCAGCAUGAAUGGCAAGGACAAAAUGAAACCCAACCAUGUUCAAGACAACCCCAAUAGUUAAAUAAGCUUUUAAUAAUAAUGUGAGCACUAACCUGCUGAGUAUUAGGAUCUAUGCCAAAGACUUUUGUAGGGCUGCUCUCAACCCAGCUUCUUUUAUCUUCAAGUGUCAAUGUUUCCAUCAGAUCUUCGUUUAUAUGUAUCUGAGGUUCA
rnacentral:lncRNA from 1 species